AAAGAAGAGCUCUAAUCUUAAAUGUAGCAAACGUUGAGAAAAAAAAGGGUAUUACUUUUGCAGAAUUAAUCAAUUAAGAGUGGUGGUUGUUCGUGAAAGCGAAAAAAGAGACCAAUUAGCAAAUUCGCCCCUUUGUGAAAAGGCAAAAGUGAUUAUGCGCAAAAUUCGCCCCACUGCGAUCUAAAAUGCAUUUUGUUUGUCAAGUACGCACAGAUUCUGACCCACUGCGCAUGCGCCUUGAAAUUCACCCCCUCGUGAAAACGUUUUAUUGCACGCGCAUGGAAUUCGCCCCUUCGUGAUAUACAUGCCAUUGUAUCGCAAUGUAUUUAUUUACUACCUUUCAUUAAUACCAUAGAGUGCGUGAAUUCGCCCCUUCGUGAAAACGCAAAACGGCACUUGUGUCGAAUUCGCCAAUAAGGUUCAUUUAGAUUUUAAUUAAUAUUUUUGAAGGUAUAGCCUUACCCGGUUGAAGUUAUUGAUAUAUUUAUUCAUUUUCACCAAAAAUCAAAAACUGAUAUGAUGACUAUCAUGAGCAGUUUACGUCAUUUCAACGUUUCCUGAAAGACGUCCAGUCUUUAAAAACCUUGACGGCGGUGUUUGGCAAUUUGUUUGCAGAUAAGUAAGGAUGUGCUUGUUUUGGAGAUAACCACAUUAUGGAAGAUUCAGAAGUGUGCGACUGUAAGAAAUGUUCAAGCAAUUGGACCAGAGCAGUGCCAUCCAUUCAUCGAGGAGAGAGACUUGUGACCAGAGCCAGUAACCGAGAAACUGAAGAAUACCAACCGUCAAACACAAAAAAGGCAGUUCAAGGAAACAAGGCCACUUCGACAAGAGGACACCGAGCACAACUCCAGUAAACCAAGGGAGUCAAAGCACGCGAGGAAGUUAGAGCAGUUAAGGGAGUUAAAGCAGGCGAGGGAAUCAAACCAGGCGAGGAAGUAGGAGCAGGCGAGGAAUUGGGAGCAGCUGAGGAAGUCAAAGCAAUCGAGGGGGUCAAAGCAGGCGAGGGGGUCGGAGCAGGCGAGGGAGUCGGAGCAGUUAUGGAAGUCGGAGCAAGCGAGGGACUCAAAGCAGGCGAGGGGGUCCAGGCAGCCAAAGCGCUUGAGGCAGCCAAGGAACACCAGCCAGCUCAGAAAACGUGACUAACUCCUGGAGACACAAACACUACUAUGAAGGAGGAGAAAAACGAGGUGAGUGUUAGAAUCUUUCUGGGAAUAUGUGGUUGGCUCUACUUGCAAAACCAGAUACUGAGGAGGUGGUGGCGGGGAGUGGUACGAUAAUUAUAUUUGUUUAAAGCCUGUUCUGAAAAGAAUUUUUUUUUCAGUCGAACUGUUUAAAGCAGUGACUUUUUAAAUUUAUUUGACUUAACUAACUUGAUGCUCAUCAGCUGCAAUCAGAAACUCUUACUGCAGUUCCACAUACACACAAAUACAUUAUGUAAAAAG